rnacentral:rRNA from 1 species
UAACACAUGCAAGUCGAGGGGCAGCACGGUGUAGCAAUACAUUGUGUGGCGACCGGCGCACGGGUGAGUAACGCGUAUGCAACCUACCUAUCAGAGGGGAAUAGCCCGGCGAAAGUCGGACUAAUACCGCAUAAAACAGGGGUUCCACAUGGAAAUAUUUGUUAAAGAUUUAUCGCUGAUAGAUGGGCAUGCGUUCCAUUAGAUAGUUGGUGAGGUAACGGCUCACCAAGUCUACGAUGGAUAGGGGUUCUGAGAGGAAGGUCCCCCACACUGGUACUGAGACACGGACCAGACUCCUACGGGAGGCAGCAGUGAGGAAUAUUGGUCAAUGGGCGAGAGCCUGAACCAGCCAAGUCGCGUGAAGGAUGAAGGAUCUAUGGUUCGUAAACUUCUUUUAUAUGGGAAUAAAGUGAGGAACGUGUUCCUUUUCGUAUGUACCAUAUGAAUAAGCAUCGGCUAACUCCGUGCCAGCAGCCGCGGUAAUACGGAGGAUGCGAGCGUUAUCCGGAUUUAUUGGGUUUAAAGGGUGCGUAGGUGGUUAAUUAAGUCAGCGGUGAAAGUUAGUGGCUCAACCAUAAAAUUGCCGUUGAAACUGGUUG